rnacentral:tRNA from 1 species
GAAAGAGUAUGUAAUAAGGAAAGCUUCUAACUUACCCUUAGAGCGGUUAAACUCCGUUCCUCCUUCU